rnacentral:rRNA from 1 species
AACGCUAGCUACAGGCUUAACACAUGCAAGUCUAGGGGCAGCAUCAUCAAAGCUUGCUUUGAUGGAUGGCGACCGGCGCACGGGUGAGUAACACGUAUCCAACCUGCCGACAACACUGGGAUAGCCUUUCGAAAGAAAGAUUAAUACCGGAUGGUAUAGUUUUCCCGCAUGGGGUGACUAUUAAAGAAUUUCGGUUGUCGAUGGGGAUGCGUUCCAUUAGGCAGUUGGCGGGGUAACGGCCCACCAAACCAACGAUGGAUAGGGGUUCUGAGAGGAAGGUCCCCCACAUUGGAACUGAGACACGGUCCAAGCUCCUACGGGAGGCAGCAGUGAGGAAUAUUGGUCAAUGGACGAGAGUCUGAACCAGCCAAGUAGCGUGAAGGAUGACUGCCCUAUGGGUUGUAAACUUCUUUUAUACGGGAAUAAAGUGAGCCACGUGUGGCUUUUUGUAUGUACCGUAUGAAUAAGGAUCGGCUAACUCCGUGCCAGCAGCCGCGGUAAUACGGAGGAUCCGAGCGUUAUCCGGAUUUAUUGGGUUUAAAGGGAGCGUAGGCGGGUUGUUAAGUCAGCUGUGAAAGUUUGCGGCUCAACCGUAAAAUUGCAGUUGAUACUGGCGACCUUGAGUGCAACAGAGGUAGGCGGAAUUCGUGGUGUAGCGGUGAAAUGCUUAGAUAUCACGAAGAACUCCGAUUGCGAAGGCAGCUUACUGGAUUGUAACUGACGCUGAUGCUCGAAAGUGUGGGUAUCAAACAGGAUUAGAUACCCUGGUAGUCCACACAGUAAACGAUGAAUACUCGCUGUUGGCGAUAUACAGUCAGCGGCCAAGCGAAAGCAUUAAGUAUUCCACCUGGGGAGUACGCCGGCAACGGUGCAACUCAAAUGAAUUGACGG